AUAUUGUCACUAUUUGUAGAU
rnacentral:miRNA from 1 species